ensembl:lncRNA novel transcript
GUGAGCCAUAUUUACUUACUUAUUUUUACAUACAGGUGUGAGCCAUAUUUACUUAUUUUUACAUACAGGUGUGAGCCAUAUUUACUUACUUAUUUUUACAUACAAUACAAACACUUUAAAUAAAGUUGAAGAUCAUCUCCAUGGACCAGGUGGUCAAGCCGAACACCCAGGAUCCAGCUGUCAAGUUCAGGGUAGCCCCUGAGCUUCUCACUCUGACUCCAACAGGGUGAGCUUGCUAUCCUUGUGGCACAGGGCCUUUUGCAUUGUGGAUGAUGGAGCGGCUCGUAUAGUCCAUAAGUUUUGUGCGUAGCUGUGUACCCUGUCCCUGUGAGCUGGUUCUGCCCGGCACCUCGGUGACCUCGAGGAAAGAAGCUGAGAGACAGAGUCUUGCUUUGUCACCCAGGCUGGAGGGCAGUGGCACCAUCAUAGCUCACUGCAGACUCGAACUCCUGGGCUCAAGGGAUCCUCCUGCCUCGGCCUCCAAAAAUGGUGAGAUUAUGGACAUGAGACACUGCACUGGGCCUAUUGUGUAUCUUGUUGGCCUAAAAUUGAAACAUGCCUUGUGAGCGUUUACUGCAACUUCAAUGAGUGAUUAUUAUGUUGCCUUUAAUCCUGAGAGACUGUAUUACUUGUGCACUUUUUUUUUUUUUGGAUAGGGGGAAAUUAGAUUUAUUCCCUAUAUGUUUUAGAAAAUUGAAGUUUUAAAUAUCAGACUCACUAGCUGCCCUGAUUUAAUCUGUUACAAUUAAGUCAGUUAAAAAACUCCUCCUUGGCCGGGCAUGGUGGCUCACACCUGUAAUCCCAGCACUUUGGAAGGCCAAGGUGGGCAAAUCACUUGAGAUCAGGAGUUCGAGAUCAGCCUGGCCAACAUGAUGAAACCCUGUCUCCCCUAAAAAUACAAAAAUUAGCCAGGCGUGGUGGCGGGCGCCUGUAAUCCCAGCUACUUGGGAGGCUGAGGCAGGAGAAUCGCUUGAGCCCGGGAGGCAGAGGUUGUAGUGAGCUGAGAUUGCGCUACUGCACUCCAGCCUGGGCAACAGAGCCAGACCCUGUCUAAAACAAAACAAAACAAAACAACAACAAAACCCCCAGGACUUCCUGUACCCACAUUCUAGUGGGGAAGACAGGAAGCAAAUUAACAAACAUCUAAUAACUAUUUUUAAAAGCCAGAUAUACGAUAUUUCACGUGGAUGACCCGAUUGGCCUGCUGCGGGUCAGGGAAACAGGCUCCCAGGUCGCAUCCUCAGCUUGUUCUUGGCGCUGGAAAAAAGAUGCUACGCGGUUCCCUCCUUCAGCCACCAGAGGGCGCGCCCUCCCCGUUUGUCCUCUUUCGCGCACUUUUUCUCCCGCACCUGUCAGUCACAGGGCAGCCCUUUAGCGGAACAGGGAUCCUGUUCUGUGAUUUUCCUGAGGGCCUGCCUCUCCCAGGGAGUAGCGGGCUCCUACGAACAGUAAUAGCAACCAUAAUGUAGAGACCAAGAGCAGAGUUACUGAGUUUUAUGCUGAUGUCCAAAGUCACAGGGCAUUUCAUUUUUCUUCUUUUUUCCUUUCCUUUAAAAAAAUGGGCUGGGCAUGGUGGCUCACGCCUAUAAUCCCAGCUCUUUGGAAGGCCGAGGCGGGUGGAUCACCCGAGGUCAGGAGUUCGAGACCAGCAUGGCCAACAUGAUGAAACCCUGUCUCUACUAAAAGUACAAAAAAUUAGCUGGCUGUGGUGGUGGGCGCCCGUAAUCCCA